CUACGGGUGGCUGCCGUGGGGAAUAUUGCACAAUGGAGGAAACUCUGAUGCAGCAACGCCGCGUGGAGGAUGACACUUUUCGGAGCGUAAACUCCUUUUAUAUAGGAAGAAGAUGACGGUACUAUAUGAAUAAGCGCCGGCUAACACCGUGCCAGCAGCCGCGGUAAUACGGAGGGCGCAAGCGUUACUCGGAAUCACUGGGCGUAAAGAGCGUGUAGGCGGAUUAAAAAGUCAGAAGUGAAAUCCUAUAGCUUAACUAUAGAACUGCUUCUGAAACUCUUAAUCUAGAAUAUGGGAGAGGUAGAUGGAAUUUCUGGUGUAGGGGUAAAAUCCGUAGAGAUCAGAAGGAAUACCGAUUGCGAAGGCGAUCUACUAGAACAUUAUUGACGCUGAGACGCGAAAGCGUGGGGAGCAAACAGGAUUAGAUACCCCUGUAGUC
rnacentral:rRNA from 1 species